GUCCUGGUAGUACAAUGGAUAGUACAAGGCUCUCCUAAAGCUUAGAUACGAGUUCGAUUCUCGUCUGGGACA
rnacentral:tRNA from 1 species